AUGCCCACUUACAGAAGGGUGCUGCCCCCGUUCCUGAGAGUCCCCCUUCCCGUGGGGCCUGUGGACCUUCCUGCCCCCCCGGCCCCCACGCCCCGCCUCCCCCAAACCCCGGCGCGCCGUGGUCCCGCCGCAGGCCCCACGGCUGCCACUUCUGCCUCCUGCGGGUGCCAGGGGAAGCAGUCCUUCCGGAAGGCGGGGGCUGGGGGUGGGUGUCCCAGGAAGCUCCGGAGGGCCUGCCAGCUCCCUGCCGUGGGGUUUCGGUUCCAGGGGGCCGGGGGAGGGUGGUCCUCUGGCAGGGGUCGGGGAGUGGAUGCCCGUGCUCAGAGCCUGGCUUGGUCCUGGUCGGGUCGGGGGCUGAUUCCCUGGGGCUCUUCUCGCCGCGCCCCCCCCGUGCCCGUCUGUUCCUGCCCCCUGCCCAGCUCCUGCCCGCGGCCCCUCCCCACACUCCCUCGCAUCUGCUGGGCUUCCUGCUUGGCUGGGCCUGGUGCCCUCCUGGCCCCCAGGACGUGCAGCCUGGACCCUGAACCCCAGCUUGGGGCCUGCUCGGACCCCGCCCUGCUGAGCCCUGCAGGCUCAGGAGAGCAGUGGAGCCUCCCAGCUCUGCUUUCCGAGGGUCGGGGGUCCCCUGGCCUCGAGCCUGUGAGGCUUGCCUUGGGUUGGCAUUUCCUGUCGCCACCCCCGCCUUCCCUGGCAGAGGCCGGAAGGGAGUUGGUGGGGGUUCCCCAGCUUCCUUCUGGGGGGCCUGGGCGGGGAGGGAGGCGGAAGGUUCUGGAGGGCUUUCUGGAGAAGGGAGCCCGUGCGGUUGGGGGCUGUUGGCUGGGGGAAUGCCCCCCGCCCCCCAGAGGGAGCCCAGGGUCUUCUGCUUGGCCAUGCUCGAGCUUGCAUACAGCUCUCACGGGGAACUCACCACCUCAGGAAGCGACCUGUGCCUGUACCGUGGGAACAGUCUCUGACUUUGCCGAGUGUAACCUUUCACCCCUGCCCUGGGCCCUACAGUCACUGCUGUGCUCUGGGUGCUGA
rnacentral:lncRNA from 1 species